rnacentral:lncRNA from 1 species
CCGGGGCAGUGCCGGUCGUCACUCACGUCGGCCCUGCGAGCUGGUGGCCAAGGGCGGCCGUGGCCACGACCCCCGGGGUCCUGUGUCCGAAAGGGCCUCGCUCGCAGGACGCUCUGGGGCCUCCUUUCCAGCCUACAUCCGAAGGAAUUUGCAACUAGCACAUCUAGGGAAAACAUUUUGCUAGCCAGCUACGCCCCUGUAGUACGGCGGUUCUAGGGCGGUUGCAAGCUCGCGCCAGACACGCGGUUCGCCCUUCUGCGGCGCCCCCAAGCCGAAAGCCCGGCUGUCACGCGUCACUCGCAAGGGCAACGGCAUCAAGGAGCCGACCUCGGGCCAUCCCGACGGCCGAGGGCGAGGGAAGGAGAGGUUUCCGUCGGUUUAGAGGAUUUUAAAGUCCGAGCUGGCAACCGGCGCGCGAGGGGACCAGAAGGCUGGAUGUAUCGACUCAUUCACUCACUCGGAGACGCGAGGGGAGGAAAGGUGCACGACUCGCUCCCGCGCUUGUGACAGUGGGUAGGGGCACGGCGGGCAGAGGGCAGGCGUGGAAGCCCUCGAGGUGGUGCCAAAGGAAGGGCCGAGGGCGCAGCACAGCGCUCGCCGAUCGGGGGGCCGAGGGAGCUGUGAUUUGCGAGAUCCUUGGCUGCCGUAUGACGGGAAGGUCCUUUCCGCCGUCGAAAGCUCUCGUGUGAUUGCAGACUUUUAAAUAUUCACGUAUUUUUUCCUUCGCGGUUUCCUGCGGGAGCCUUCCACGGCGUCUCUCGGAGCACGUUCCUGCGGCGGGAGGGAGCAGACCGGCGAGGAAAUGCCUCCCACCCGGGACAUAGUGCUCGCGCGGAGCUGCAUUCUGGAAACGGGCUGCUUGUGGUGCACACACACUCACGCACACACACGCACACAGCGCCGCGGGGAGUAGAACUCCAGCAGCAGCCUGCACGGUGGCCGCCCAGACAACAGCCUGCACCGCCAGCGCUCGCCGAUGGUCACGCCGCGACGCCGCCAGAUUAGAAAAUGACCCCUACGUGCCGUGUGGCUCAAGCUUGUUGAUUCAGCCUCCCUUAUGACGACCGAGAAAGUGCUAUUCCCGGUCGAACUAGCUAGGUCUUUUAGUGACUUUGAUAGAUAGAAUGACAUAAAUAGGCAUUUCUGGCACUGGAUAAUAAAGGGAUUAAAUUUAGGUCUAUUUUUUUUAUAUUCUUCUCCUGUGCCCCUGAAAUUGAAAGAUAAAGCAUAUGUGAUUUAAUGUAUUUAUUUAUUUAUUCAUUUUUUUUUAAACGUUUGUUUCUAAUGUGAAAUUUAUGUGUGAUUUGAAGGUAUGGAAAAAAGUUGAAAUGCAGAAGUGAGAGAUUAAAAGGAAAAAAAAAAAUAAUAAUAAAAAAAUAAACAACGAAAAGAAAAUAGCAAAAAUAUAAUAAAUAAAACAACAACGCUAAUAAACAUGUAUUUGAAGUCAAUACCGAGUUUGCGUUUGAGAAGAUAAGAUAAGUUAGAGAAAGAAAGAAAAGGCAAGAGAGAGAGAGAGAGAGAGAGAGAGAGAGAGAGAGAGAGAGAAACAG